rnacentral:rRNA from 1 species
UACGGGGGGGGGCAAGCGUUGUUCGGAAUUACUGGGCGUAAAGGGCUCGUAGGCGGCCAACUAAGUCGGAUGUGAAAUCCCCAGGCUUAACCUGGGAACUGCAUCCGAUACUGGAUGGCUUGAAUCCGGGAGAGGGAUGCGGAAUUCCAGGUGUAGCGGUGAAAUGCGUAGAUAUCGUGGAGGAACACCGGUGGCGAAGGCGG